CCUACGGGAGGCAGCAGUGGGGAAUAUUGCACAAUGGGGGAAACCCUGAUGCAGCGACGCCGCGUGAGUGCAGCAGUAUUUCGGUAUGUAAAGCUCUAUCAGCAGGGAAGAAAUAGCGACCUUUGGGUCGCCAGACGGUACCUGACUAAGAAGCACCGGCUAACUACGUGCCAGCAGCCGCGGUAAUACGUAGGGGGCAAUCGUUAUCCGGAUUUACUGGGUGUAAAGGGAGCGUAGAAGGCAGCACAAGUCCUAAGUGAAAUGCCGGGGCUUAACCCCGGAACUGCUUUGGAAACUGUGCAGCUAGAGUGCAGGAGAGGUAAGUGGAAUUCCUAGUGUAGCGGUGAAAUGCGUAGAUAUUAGGAGGAACACCAGUGGCGAAGGCGGCUUACUGGACUGUAACUGACGUUGAGGCUCGAAAGCGUGGGGAGCAAACAGGAUUAGAUACCCCGGUAGUC
rnacentral:rRNA from 1 species